AGCAGUGUGGCUUAAUGGAUAGAGCAAGCAUCUGGGAGUCAGAAGGACCUGGGUUCUGAUCCCAGCUCGGCUA
rnacentral:tRNA from 1 species